rnacentral:rRNA from 1 species
GUUCCAGACUCCUACGGGAGGCAGCAGUGGGGAAUAUUGCACAAUGGGGGAAACCCUGAUGCAGCGACGCCGCGUGAAGGAUGAAGUAUUUCGGUAUGUAAACUUCUAUCAGCAGGGAAGAAAAUGACGGUACCUGACUAAGAAGCCCCGGCUAACUACGUGCCAGCAGCCGCGGUAAUACGUAGGGGGCAAGCGUUAUCCGGAUUUACUGGGUGUAAAGGGGGCGCAGACGGCGAUGCAAGCCAGGAGUGAAAGCCCGGGGCCCAACCCCGGGACUGCUCUUGGAACUGCGUGGCUGGAGUGCAGGAGGGGCAGGCGGAAUUCCUGGUGUAGCGGUGAAAUGCGUAGAUAUCAGGAGGAACACCAGUGGCGAAGGCGGCUUACUGGACGGCAACUGACGCUGAGGCUCGAAAGCGUGGGGAGCAAACAGGAUUAGAUACCCCAGUACG